rnacentral:rRNA from 1 species
AUGGUGCCGGGGAAAUACCCUCGCCGCCGAUCCCAGAGGAGCUCCUGCUGGACAUCUUCCGCCGCAUUCCCGACCCAACCGACCUCGUCCUCACCUCCGCCGCCUGCGUCACAUUCCGCCGCCUCAUCGCCGACCGCUCCUUCCUCCGGCAGUACCGCAAGCUCCACGCCCCGCCCCUCCUCGGCUUCGUCGACGAAGACGAAGGCUUGCAGUUGCAUCCCGCCGAGCGGCCUUACCGCUCCGUACCGGCAGCCAGAGCCGUCGCCCGCGCCGGCGACUUCUCCUUCUCCUUCGUCCCCGCCCCCGCACCCCCCUCGCCGCUGGGUUGUCAUGGACAUUUCUGACGGCCGCGUCCUCCUCGGCGGAACCGACACUCAAUUUUUUAGCGGGCGCUUCUACAGAGAGAUGGUGGUGUGUGACCCGUUGCACCGGCAGUACCUCCUGCUUCCCCCAAUCCCUUACGACCUAAGCCAUUCGGUGAAGUAUUUCGGUGAUAAUUUCUGGGAAACUUUCCUCGUUCCCUGUGGCGAUGAGGCAGCAAUUGAUGAAGAGAGAUCAUUCAGAGUGAUCUGUAUGGUGCAGUGCAAAGUUAGGCUCAUGGCCUUUGUCUUCUCUUCCAGCACUAGACAAUGGCAAGCCAUUCCAACCCCGAGUUGGACCAAUUUGUUUCCUGGCUUGCUACCAUCACAAAGCAUGCCACUCUUCACAAAGCGAGAACGUGUGUUUGGCUGCUUUUACUGGCUGCCAAUGGUAUACAAAUCCAACAUGUUGGUGCUCGAUCCCCGCAGGAUGGAGUUCUUCAUUGCUGAACCCCCGCCCGAAGCCAAAGCUCUAAACGUUAGUAUUGCAACUAUGGUGGAGUCAGGAGAAGGCAGGCCCAGAAUGCUUACCUGGCAGAGUUCCACAUCUGGCCGCGAGUAUACCAUUUGGAGGAAACAUGGUGGGAGCUCCGGCCAAUGGCAGAAGGAGAAGAUAUUCACAAUCUCACCGAGGUACUACUUCACAAGUUCAGUGGGGGAGUACUUGCUCCUGGAACACUGCCGAGAACACUUCGGAAGUGCAUUGCUUGAGUUAAGCUUAUGCACGUUGGACAUUGAAACAAUACAGAUCAAGAGGGUGUGUGCUUUAACAUCGAAUGGCUGCGCAUAUAGCAACUACCCACCAUCGUUGUCGUCACCGACAGUAUGA